CUCUCCUGGUCUCUCCUACCUACUGCCGGCCCCGCCCACAGGAUCUGCACCGGGGAGCUCGCUAGCAGCUGCUCCUCGGGCCUUAGCACCCUCUCACCCCCUGGCAGUAGGAGGAAAACCAUUAUGAAGCCAACAGUUUAUAAAAGGGGAAAGAUGAGUGGCUGGAGGAGGAAGGGAUAGAACCAGGAUGCUUCCUUGAAUGCCUGUGGUUUGCUCAGAUUCGAUGGCAGUCAUUCGUGAAGGCGCUGAGCAGGCGACGGCUCUUUCUCUUUGAAAGUGGCAUUCACAGAGGUGGCACCGAGACAGAUCGAAGGGUGGAAAGGAAUUUUGUGGCGACUCAGGGAGGAAUUUGGACCUGUAAGAUAUUCCUGACGUUAAUUAUUGGUCAUUUCAGCUGGCCAGAGUUGGCCUUGAGCUGGACUUGCUAAGCUGAAUAAAAGAAACAGAUCCUUUUAAAA